GGCUAACUACGUGCCAGCAGCCGCGGUAAUACGUAGGGCGCAAGCGUUGUCCGGAAUUAUUGGGCGUAAAGAGCUCGUAGGCGGUCUGUCGCGUCUGGUGUGAAAACCCGAGGCUCAACCUCGGGCUUGCAUCGGGUACGGGCGGACUAGAGUGCUGUAGGGGAGACUGGAAUUCCUGGUGUAGCGGUGGAAUGCGCAGAUAUCAGGAGGAACACCGAUGGCGAAGGCAGGUCUCUGGGCAGUUACUGACGCUGAGGAGCGAAAGCAUGGGGAGCGAACAGGAUUAGAUACCCUGGUAGUCCAUGCCGUAAACGUUGGGCACUAGGUGUGGGGACCAUUCCACGGUUUCCGUGCCGCAGCUAACGCAUUAAGUGCCCCGCCUGGGGAGUACGGCCGCAAGGCUAAAACUCAAAUGAAUUGACGGGGA
rnacentral:rRNA from 1 species